UUUAUUUUCUGUAGUUGAAGUUUAAAGCUGUUUAAUAUAUAUUACAUUGUGAUGUGGUUAUUAUUAACCGUUCAUUGAUAGGCAUGUAGGGUAGACAAGUGUGUUAUUUUAUAUUUUUUUAGGAGGCUAAGAUCACGCCCAAAAACGUUAUUUUUUGGUCUGUUUAUCAAAACAUUAUAUAUUAAAAAUCAGUAACUAUCUGACACAUUUAAUUGGCUGUAGUUUUCCCCAAUUAACUUAUGCUCUUACAAAUUCAGCCCAUAAAAACCAUUUGCACUUGAAAGUGGUUUAGUCUUACCAGGAAUGGUGCCUCUCUCAGUGAAAAAUUUAAUAGCAACUUAUAAAUUAUGCCUUUAUUUAUUCUAACAGAAAGAUAUUUUCACCAUCUUUUUUCCAUAAUAGUUUGAUAGCAUGUGAGAUUGCAAAAGUAGGCUGUAGCCAUUUUAACUCAUGUUCCAUUUCAAACAUGAACUUUUAGAGACUUAAGUUGUAUUAAACCAGAGCAGCUCUCAUUAGAAGGCCUUUAGUGAUCCAAGUUCCAAGUAUAUUUUGAAGAGAUUGUGAUAUUUUUGAAUAUCAGAUAAAUCACAUACCUGAGAAACAUGAUACAUAAAGUUGCUGGCUAAAUGAACUUUCCCAAACUGAGUGACAAGUGGGUUCUUUAACUCUAGACUGCAGUAGAAUGCGUCCGUGGGGGACAGCAGGAGGCGUCAACUGUGUGUUUUUUGUCCUCCUUCCAGCUUCAACAUCGCCUUAUGGCACGUGUGGUCGUUUUUCACUCCACUGUUGUUAUUUACCCAAUUUAUGGGGGUCGUAAUGUUGAUCUCACUCCUUGGAUGAUUUCCAGAGAUUUAAGGGCAUGUCAAUUUAAAACGAAUGAUCCAACAUCCAGCUAUAGCUGAAAGCAAGGCAGACAUAAUGGAAAAGCUGCAAUGUGUUUUUGCAUCUGUGAAGUUGGGUGGGUUCCUUGGAAAAAUUAUAACAAUUAGUAUGGUUAAAAUCAGAAUAAAUUACAUUUUAUUUGCAUAUUAAGGUCAAGUGAUUAAAUAAUUUUUCAGAUUCAAACCAAAUACUCUAUUUGAAAUAGAAAUAAUUAAUUUGCAUUGUUAAUUUGAGUUAUUAGAGAAAGUAUUGGUGUAAAAAUUUGAAUGAAGUUUCAUUAUAGAUGCAUAAUGUACUCCCGAUAGUGUAGAUAAAUUGUUCAGGCUUCCAUUUAAGGGAUAGCAGUUCAUUGUGUAAGAUGACUGGGUGUGUGUAUAAAGGGACGACAAUGUCACGUGCCUUUAGCCCAACUUCAGCAGUUACUGUGUAUCUCUUUAAAAUAGUUUGUUAGGAGAGGGGACCAAUUGAAACUAUGUUUUCUCAUCACUCUAGAUUGUAUGUGUAAAUUAUUGGCUUUUUAGCAUUUGUUUAACAUACCAACUUUUAAUCAUUUUAAGUGUGUAUAAUUUUUUCCUUAACAUUUAAAUAAAAUAUUUUUCUAACUUUA